rnacentral:rRNA from 1 species
AGAGUUUGAUCCUGGCUCAGAACGAACGCUGGCGGCGCGCCUAAUACAUGCAAGUCGAGCGAGAAGGUGUAGCAAUACACUUGUAAAGCGGCGAACGGGUGAGGAAUACAUGGGUAAUCUACCAUCGAGUGGGGAAUAACCAGCCGAAAGGUUGGCUAAUACCGCGUACGCCUCCGGAUUUUCGGAUUCGGAGGGAAAGCCGUGCUGUGAGUACGGCGCUCUUUGAUGAGCUCAUGUCCUAUCAGCUUGUUGGUAGGGUAACGGCCUACCAAGGCUUUGACGGGUAGCUGGUCUGAGAGGACGAUCAGCCACACUGGCACUGCGACACGGGCCGGACUCCUACGGGAGGCAGCAGUAAGGAAUAUUGCGCAAUGGGCGAAAGCCUGACGCAGCGACGCCGCGUGGGGGAUGAAGGUCUUCGGAUUGUAAACCCCUUUCGGGAGGGAAGAUGGAGCGAGCAAUCGCUCGGACGGUACCUCCAGAAGCAGCCACGGCCAACUUCGUGCCAGCCGCCGCGGUAAUAC